AUUAUGGCUCAGGAUGAACGCUGGCGGUAUGCUUUACACAUGCAAGUCGUACGAGAGUUUUUAACUCAAGUGGCGGACGGGUGAGUAACACGUAAGAAUUUGCCUUUAGGAGGGGGAUAACAACUGGAAACGGUUGCUAAUACCCCAUAUGCUUUCGAGUGAAAUGGAGUUUCCGCCUAAAGAGAAGCUUGCGGCUGAUUAGCUUGUUGGUAAGGUAAUGGCUUACCAAGGCGACGAUCAGUAUCUGGUUUGAGAGGACGAUCAGACACACUGGAACUGAGACACGGUCCAGACUCCUACGGGAGGCAGCAGUGGGGAAUUUUCCGCAAUGGGCGAAAGCCUGACGGAGCAAUACCGCGUGAGGGAUGACGGCCUAUGGGUUGUAAACCUCUUUUUUCAGGGAGGAAUCAAUGACGUGUACCUGAAGAAUAAGCAUCGGCUAACUCCGUGCCAGCAGCCGCGGUAAGACGGAGGAUGCAAGUGUUAUCCGGAAUCACUGGGCGUAAAGCGUCUGUAGGUGGUCAAAUAAGUCAACUGUUAAAUCUUGAGGCUCAACCUCAAAAUCGCAGUCGAAACUAUUCGACUAGAGUAUAGUAGGGGUAAAGGGAAUUUCCAGUGGAGCGGUGAAAUGCGUAGAGAUUGGAAAGAACACCGAUGGCGAAGGCACUUUACUGGGCUAUUACUAACACUGAGAGACGAAAGCUAGGGUAGCAAAUGGGAUUAGAUACCCCAGUAGUCCUAGCCGUAAACAAUGGAUACUAGAUGUUGAACAGAUCGACCUGUGCAGUAUCAAAGCUAACGCGUUAAGUAUCCCGCCUGGGAAGUAUGCUCGCAAGAGUGAAACUCAAAU
rnacentral:rRNA from 1 species